rnacentral:rRNA from 1 species
CUGCAACUCGACUCCAUGAAGUCGGAAUCGCUAGUAAUCGUGGAUCAGAAUGCCACGGUGAAUACGUUCCCGGGCCUUGUACACACCGCCCGUCACACCAUGGGAGUGGGUUGCAAAAGAAGUAGGUAGCUUAACCUUCGGGAGGGCGCUUACCACUUUGUGAUUCAUGACUGGGGUGAAGUCGUAACAAGGUAACCGUAGGGGAACCUGCGGUUGGAUCACCUCCUUACCUGAAAGAAGC